rnacentral:rRNA from 1 species
CCUACGGGAGGCAGCAGUGGGGAAUAUUGCACAAUGGGGGAAACCCUGAUGCAGCGACGCCGCGUGCGUGAAGAAGUAUUUCGGUACGUAAAGCUCUAUCAGCAGGGAAGACAAUGACGGUACCUGACUAAGAAGCCCCGGCUAACUACGUGCCAGCAGCCGCGGUAAUACGUAGGGGGCAAGCGUUAUCCGGAUUUACUGGGUGUAAAGGGAGCGUAGACGGCAGCGCAAGUCUGGAGUGAAAUCCCAUGGCUUAACCAUGGAACUGCUUUGGAAACUGUGCAGCUAGAGUGCAGGAGAGGUAAGCGGAAUUCUUAGUGUAGCGGUGAAAUGCGUAGAUAUUAGGAGGAACACCAGUGGCGAAGGCGGCUUACUGGACUGUAACUGACGUUGAGGCUCGAAAGCGUGGGGAGCAAACAGGAUUAGAUACCCUAGUAGUC